rnacentral:tRNA from 1 species
UAUACGAUGAUGUAAAGAGCAUAGGAGAUUUUGAUUCUCCCUGAUUUGGUGUGAUUCCAUUUCGUAUAG